rfam:Schistosoma rodhaini strain Burundi genome assembly, scaffold: SROB_scaffold0002319
AUCCAGCUGACGAGUCCUGAAUAGGACGAAACGCGCGUUCUGGAU